AUAUUGUGAGCUCGAUGAGUAGGGCGGGACACGUGGUAUCCUGUCUGAAUAUGGGGGGACCAUCCUCCAAGGCUAAAUACUCCUGACUGACCGAUAGUGAACCAGUACCGUGAGGGAAAGGCGAAAAGAACCCCGGCGAGGGGAGUGAAAAAGAACCUGAAACCGUGUACGUACAAGCAGUGGGAGCACGCUUAGGCGUGUGACUGCGUACCUUUUGUAUAAUGGGUCAGCGACUUAUAUUCUGUAGCAAGGUUAACCGAAUAGGGGAGCCGAAGGGAAACCGAGUCUUAACUGGGCGUUAAGUUGCAGGGUAUAGACCCGAAACCCGGUGAUCUAGCCAUGGGCAGGUUGAAGGUUGGGUAACACUAACUGGAGGACCGAACCGACUAAUGUUGAAAAAUUAGCGGAUGACUUGUGGCUGGGGGUGAAAGGCCAAUCAAACCGGGAGAUAGCUGGUUCUCCCCGAAAGCUAUUUAGGUAGCGCCUCGUGAAUUCAUCUCCGGGGGUAGAGCACUGUUUCGGCAAGGGGGUCAUCCCGACUUACCAACCCGAUGCAAACUGCGAAUACCGGAGAAUGUUAUCACGGGAGACACACGGCGGGUGCUAACGUCCGUCGUGAAGAGGGAAACAACCCAGACCGCCAGCUAAGGUCCCAAAGUCAUGGUUAAGUGGGAAACGAUGUGGGAAGGCCCAGACAGCCAGGAUGUUGGCUUAGAAGCAGCCAUCAUUUAAAGAAAGCGUAAUAGCUCACUGGUCGAGUCGGCCUGCGCGGAAGAUGUAACGGGGCUAAACCAUGCACCGAAGCUGCGGCAGCGACGCUUAUGCGUUGUUGGGUAGGGGAGCGUUCUGUAAGCCUGUGAAGGUGUGCUGUGAGGCAUGCUGGAGGUAUCAGAAGUGCGAAUGCUGACAUAAGUAACGAUAAAGCGGGUGAAAAGCCCGCUCGCCGGAAGACCAAGGGUUCCUGUCCAACGUUAAUCGGGGCAGGGUGAGUCGACCCCUAAGGCGAGGCCGAAAGGCGUAGUCGAUGGGAAACAGGUUAAUAUUCCUGUACUUGGUGUUACUGCGAAGGGGGGACGGAGAAGGCUAUGUUGGCCGGGCGACGGUUGUCCCGGUUUAAGCGUGUAGGCUGGUUUUCCAGGCAAAUCCGGAAAAUCAAGGCUGAGGCGUGAUGACGAGGCACUACGGUGCUGAAGCAACAAAUGCCCUGCUUCCAGGAAAAGCCUCUAAGCAUCAGGUAACAUCAAAUCGUACCCCAAACCGACACAGGUGGUCAGGUAGAGAAUACCAAGGCGCUUGAGAGAACUCGGGUGAAGGAACUAGGCAAAAUGGUGCCGUAACUUCGGGAGAAGGCACGCUGAUAUGUAGGUGAAGCGACUUGCUCGUGGAGCUGAAAUCAGUCGAAGAUACCAGCUGGCUGCAACUGUUUAUUAAAAACACAGCACUGUGCAAACACGAAAGUGGACGUAUACGGUGUGACGCCUGCCCGGUGCCGGAAGGUUAAUUGAUGGGGUCAGCGCAAGCGAAGCUCUUGAUCGAAGCCCCGGUAAACGGCGGCCGUAACUAUAACGGUCCUAAGGUAGCGAAAUUCCUUGUCGGGUAAGUUCCGACCUGCACGAAUGGCGUAAUGAUGGCCAGGCUGUCUCCACCCGAGACUCAGUGAAAUUGAACUCGCUGUGAAGAUGCAGUGUACCCGCGGCAAGACGGAAAGACCCCGUGAACCUUUACUAUAGCUUGACACUGAACAUUGAGCCUUGAUGUGUAGGAUAGGUGGGAGGCUUAGAAGUGUGGACGCCAGUCUGCAUGGAGCCGACCUUGAAAUACCACCCUUUAAUGUUUGAUGUUCUAACGUUGACCCGUAAUCCGGGUUGCGGACAGUGUCUGGUGGGUAGUUUGACUGGGGCGGUCUCCUCCUAAAGAGUAACGGAGGAGCACGAAGGUUGGCUAAUCCUGGUCGGACAUCAGGAGGUUAGUGCAAUGGCAUAAGCCAGCUUGACUGCGAGCGUGACGGCGCGAGCAGGUGCGAAAGCAGGUCAUAGUGAUCCGGUGGUUCUGAAUGGAAGGGCCAUCGCUCAACGGAUAAAAGGUACUCCGGGGAUAACAGGCUGAUACCGCCCAAGAGUUCAUAUCGACGGCGGUGUUUGGCACCUCGAUGUCGGCUCAUCACAUCCUGGGGCUGAAGUAGGUCCCAAGGGUAUGGCUGUUCGCCAUUUAAAGUGGUACGCGAGCUGGGUUUAGAACGUCGUGAGACAGUUCGGUCCCUAUCUGCCGUGGGCGCUGGAGAACUGAGGGGGGCUGCUCCUAGUACGAGAGGACCGGAGUGGACGCAUCACUGGUGUUCGGGUUGUCAUGCCAAUGGCACUGCCCGGUAGCUAAAUGCGGAAGAGAUAAGUGCUGAAAGCAUCUAAGCACGAAACUUGCCCCGAGAUGAGUUCUCCCUGACUCCUUGAGAGUCCUGAAGGAACGUUGAAGACGACGACGUUGAUAGGCCGGGUGUGUAAGCGCAGCGAUGCGUUGAGCUAACCGGUACUAAUGAACCGUGAGGCUUAACCUUACAACGCCGAAGCUGUU
rnacentral:rRNA from 1 species